GUUAGGAAUAUUCGUCAAUGGGGGAAACCCUGAACGAGCAAUGCCGCGUGAGUGAUGAAGGCCCUAUGGGUUGUAAAACUCUGUUGUAAAGGAAGAACACCUAGUAUAGGAAAUGAUGCUAGACUGACGGUACUUUACCAGAAAGCCCCGGCUAACUACGUGCCAGCAGCCGCGGUAAUACGUAGGGGGCGAGCGUUAUCCGGAUUUAUUGGGCGUAAAGGGUGUGUAGGCGGUUUGGUAAGUCUAAAAUCAAAGCCCGAGGCUUAACCUCGGUUCGUUUUAGAAACUGUCAAACUAGAGUGCAGUAGAGGCAAGUGGAAUUUCUAGUGUAGCGGUUAAAUGCGUAGAUAUUAGAAGGAACACCAGUGGCGAAGGCGGCUUGCUGGGCUGUAACUGACGCUGAGACACGAAAGCGUGGGGAGCAAAUAGGA
rnacentral:rRNA from 1 species